rnacentral:tRNA from 1 species
GAGGGUGUAGCUCAGUGGUAGAGCGCAUGCUUAGCAUGCACGAGGUCCUGGGUUCAAUCCCCAGCACCUUCA